rnacentral:tRNA from 1 species
UAGUGUAGCGGUUAUCACGCCUGCCUGUCACGCAGGAGAUCGCGGGUUCGAUUCCCG